UAGGUAAAGGAUUCGGUGGUUGGUACCUGAGGUUGCAAGUUUGAAAUUCUGAUUGAUUCAUAACUUUAUUUCUAAAUAAAGUAAACGAAGCGGGUAGCGUGCUACCUAAUCUCUUUCUCAAAAAAAAAAAAAAGAUCAUGAAGGUCUUCGUGCUUCUAAGCUGUUUUUGAUGAUGGAACUUUCGAAUUGAUAAUAGACUCCGUUAGACUUGAUCUAGCGUAUUUGAAGUAUCUAAAAAAUAAUUUUUUUAAUUUUUUGAUAUUAUUUAUAUAGCGAUCGAAAGUGUCCAAAAUCAACAGCUGAAAAUAAAAAAUCACAAAACAUAGUGAUAUAGCACUAAAAUUUUCAAUAAUAGAUAUUGAUCUUUCAGUAAAUAGUACAAAAAAUUUUUUAUUAAAAUUUCAUUAGAUUUGAAUACGUUUACAUCAUUAAACUUGUAAACGAUAUAUAUCAAACUAUUAAAAAGUAUUGAUUUUAAAGCCU
rnacentral:lncRNA from 1 species